UUUCCUUUUGGUUGAUUUCUCUCAAUAGGCUAAAGGCAGCAGCACAUUUCUGUGUUUGUAGUUGAAGAAACUACUAUGUUUUGGAGGAAAGGAAGAGGUAACUUGAUUAAAGAAGGAGCUUCCCUGGCUGGAGUUUGCAAGUCUCAAUUGGAAGAACAAUGAAGACACUUUUUGGACCUUUGUUACUGUUCUUGUGGCUGCAGCUAGACUGUAUGGGUAGAGGAGAGAAAGUGGAGCAGAGUCCUCCUCUCUUGAGUAUCCAAGAUGGAGAGAGCUCUUUUUCCAAUUGCACUUAUACUGACAGUGCUUCCACCUACUUCCUUUGGUAUAAACAAGAACCUGGAAGAGGUCCUCAGUUACUUAUACAGAUUCUUGGAAACGCAGACAAGAAACAAGACCAAAGAUUCACUGUCCUACUGAAUAAGAAGGAGAAACAUUUCUCACUGCACAUUGCAGACCCUCAUCCUGGGGACUCAGCCACCUACUUCUGUGCAGUGAGAGCACAGUGCUCCCCAGACACCUGCAGCCUGUACCCAAAUCUGAGACUGAUCUGA